AUCAGAAUGACACACCUCCACACACAACUUCCAUACCCUUAACCACUGAACAUGAUUAUGAUCUUAGCUUUGACACUUCACCACACACCGAUGUCCCUUGUGAGGAACAAAACCACAACACACAGUUAACUGAGCCUUACAUACUACGCCAUACUGACACAGUUCCUCACCCUAACAAUUCCACCAAAACCAGUAGGAGCAGACAUCCACCUGCUCAUAUUAAGGAUUAUGUAUGCAACACUUCAAGCAAUAAGUGCAUUCCUUCAUCUCUUACACUAUCCUAUA
rnacentral:lncRNA from 1 species